ACUUAUUAGCUUGUUUAACAAGUAAUGUAAGUAUGUAAAGAAAUUAUUAUGCAAUUCUAGCUAUGUAUUAAGGAGAGCAAUUUUUAUAUAAAAAAGAAUAUUAUAUAUUCCUAGUUAUAUAAGCUCUAGAAUAAAUUUAAUAAUAAACGAAGUGAAGUGAAAUAUCUCAGUAACUUCAGGAAAAGAAAUCAAAAGAGAUUCUAUGAAUAGCGUGAGCGAAAGUAGAUAAGUCUAUUAAGUAAAAUGGUUUAUAAACUGUUUGAACGGGGAACCUUCCUCAAAGACUAAAUAUGAUACAUAAGCGAUAGAUAAUGGGCCGUGAGGUAAUUAGAAGUUAGUAGUAAUUUUAUAAGCAGUUCUAAUAUAUUUAGUUUAAAGAACGUACCUUUUGCAUAAUGGGUCACCAAGUUAACAUUAGAUGCGAGAAAAUUUCGUAGUUAAACCAAACAUUAAAAUAACGAUUAGUGUCUAAAGUUAGACCCGAAGCCUAGUGAUUUUACUAUGAUCAGGAUUAUAAAAGUCCGAACGGGUGAUUGUGGCAAAAAUCUCCGAAGAAUCGUGGUAGGUAUAGUGAAAGACAAUACUGACUAGGAUAGCUGGUUUUCUGCGAAACCUAUAACAGUAGGCAAUUUAAGUAAAUAUCUUAGCAGGUACAGAAUUUAAUCUCAGGCAGUGUUAUAUUGCGCAAAUUGGGGAAUCGUGAAGAUUUUACCAGUGAGUAUGUAGACUCGGAAUGGCAAAGAUAUAUCUUGAAUGAUCAGACAUAGAGUGAUAAGGUUGUAUGUCAAAAGGGAAACAGCCCAGAACAAGAGUUAAGGUUCCUAAAUUAUUUGUUAAGUGAAAGUAAGAAAGUUUUUAUUAAAGUCGACAAGGAGAUAGGCUUAGAAGCAGCCAUAAUUUUAUGACCUCGUAACAGAGCGCUUGUUAAGUUAUAAAAGCAUCGAAAAUAUAACGGAUCUAAACAAUAUACCGAAACCUUGUCCAUAAAUUAAUGCAGGGAUUCUUGCAUAUUUAUGGGGUAGCAGAACGUUGAAUUAGGCUAAAUAGCAAGUUUAUAAAUUUGUUAUGUUAAUUCAAGUGAGAAUGGUGACAUGAGUAACGAAAAGAAUAGUAGAUUUUGGCAAUUUUUUCUUAGGUGUAGCCUAGUAAGCUAUCAAAAUACAAAAGAAGAAUUAUCUAAAUACAUUAAAUAAUAGAUCUUAUUUAGUGCUUACAAGAUCUACUAUCCGCCUAAAGCUUAUGGUUAGAAUUAAGUAACGGCCUCUAAGCUUUUUAUCUAAAGAUGGAAGCGAUGAGAAAAUCUUUUAUUAUGAGACGACAUUUAUCUAGUGAAAAAUGUACAGGAAAUAUCAUGAUAUAGUAACCGUACCUAGAAACCGACUACGGUAAGCUAGUAGAGUAUACGAAGGCGUAAUUGAGAUAACAAUCAUAAAGGAACUCGGCAAAUUGACUAUCGUAACUUCGGGAUAAGUAGGGCUCAUUAUUCUUGAUUAAUAUCAGGUAAAGAGGAAGAAACAUAAAAUAAUGUUGUACGACUGUUUAAUUAAAACACAGCACUUUGCUUAAAGAUUAAAAAUCUAUGUAUAAAGUGUGAUAUCUGCCCGGUGCCGGCAGGCUAACAGAGAUGAUUGAAUAUAUUACUGUUUGAUAUUGACGGAAGCCCCGGUUAAAGGCGGCCUUAACGUGAGGGUCCUAAGGUAGCGAAAUGCCUUGGCCGUUAAAUGCGGUCUUGCAUGAAUGGUGUAACGAUACAACAGCUGUCUCUAUGAUUGACUCAGUGAAAUUGGAAUAGCUGUGCAGAUACAGCUUACCACUAGUUAGACGAGAAGACCCUUUGCAGCUUUACUGUUACUAAUGAUAGAUUUUGAUGAAAAAUUUUCAGACUAGAAGGGAAUUGAUUAAAUAUCUAUGAGAAACCUUUAUUUUGAUUCUUCAUUUGAAUGAAUUGAUAUACCUACAAGCGUUAGUAUAUCAUCCUAGUUCAGCCUAUAUUCUUAGUUUACUAAGAAAUAGGUAACCUUGGGAAGGAACUAUUACUAGGAGACAGUUUAUGUGGGGCACAGACCCUGUAAAGAGUAAACAGGUGUGUCUAAUAAUUAUUUUUAUUUUGUUUGCUAUUUUUAUAUAAAUCAUAUUCACUUUGAUAUAAUUCUAGUGUAGUACUUGGUGGGCUCUUUUUUUUUUGAAAAAAAAUACUACAAGUUAUACUAUUAUAUUUAUAUCGAAAAUUUAGGUAAGAUUUUGACUAUACUGAAAUUAGAGAUAAUUUAAAAUUUUAUGUAAUACUUGGUGGGCUCCGCCCUAAAGUUUAACACUAAAGUUUUAUAGUUAUUCGUAUUUAUAUACGAACUAAUUAUGUUUUGAAGAUCUAAAAAGCUCAACGGCUUAAUCUUGCCUUACUGUUUGAUUAUCGACAAAUCUUACAGUUGCGUAAGCAGAGCAUAGGAUCACAAGAUGCAAUAAGGAAAGAUCUUGGAUUAUUGGAAAAGCUACGCUAGGGAUGUUUGUCCUUUAAUCUUUAUUAAAAGAAUUAUUAUAAAUUGGGUAAAUUUCAAGAAUUACUAGCUUUCGCAUUAAUUGUAAACUUGAAGCGAAAUUUAUCUUAGCAUAAUAUAAGAUAAAAACGUUCAACG
rnacentral:rRNA from 1 species